CCGUUGAUGGGGAUGGCUCUGUGUUUCUCUGUCCUAGCCCUGCUGAUUGCCGUCAGCGCAUCUAAUUGCGGUGCUGUCCAGGACAUUGCUGGAGAUAAUGCAAACCCGGACUGGCAGCACCCUUUUGGGACUAGGUGGGAUUCCCAUACUACAAAUGCCACAGAUGUAACCUACGACCUCCUCUAUGGUGCUGUGACCGUAAUCUUCUAUGGAAGCAACUUUGUUCCGGUGAAGAGAAUUGGCAGUGGAGAUGUCAAUGCCACUGGCAUGCCCAUUGUGACUACAAGCAGUGUAAGCCUUGGGCUUCUUGUAUGGGCCUCUUUCAACCUGCUAAUGGGCUGGGCGAGCACCCGGUGUGUCUGUAUAUACCAGCCUGUGUGCCCCCUCAGAUACUGCCUUGCCAAUUGCUUGGCCGUCCGUCUGUAAAGAUGCAUGUGGCAAAGACGAACAAAGACACCUUCGUGAUGUCAGAGCAACACAGUAAGGUCACGUUAUGUAUGGAAUUAGCUGUAGCUGGUAGACCUGUUCUGUCAGAUUAUGUUAUAUCCUUAUUUCCCCUUUUUGUGACUUCAAACUUGAAUAAUUUUUACAGACAAAAUAUCGUUCAGUUUCCAUCUACCUGGCUAUUCUCUUCCCCAACAUGUUAUCCAUAAAAUUGGUUGGGGUAUAAAUGAAAUAACAUUUUUUUCAUAUAGGCCUAAUUAUUCACCAGUUUUAGUAAAAACCACCCUGUUAAAGUUGUUGGAUGAAAGGGUAUUAAAAAUAGAAAGUAAAACGUUUGGAAAGUAAUUCUGGUUUGUUUUAGAAAACAAUGUAUGUAGAAGUAAGUUGUGUAUUUUAGGCCUGCUAGUUUGAUUACAGUUGUUUGU